rnacentral:tRNA from 2 species
GCCGAGGUGGCAGAAUCCGGUAUCGCGGCAGUCUCGAAAACUGCUCCCGCAAGGGGUUGCAGGUUCAAAUCCUGUCCUCGGCG